GAACUUUUAAGACGAUUACAAUGGAACUAAAAGUGUUUUUCCUAGUGUUCCUGCUAGCUAUUCUUAAUCCCUCGGUUAUUGCCUUUAAUAAAAAGAAAUGUAGUGCUCCAGGUCCCCAGGAUGGCAAGUGCAGAGGUAGAAAUGGAAUGGCGUGGACAUUUGUAAAUCCAAAGUGCUGGCCAUUCACAUAUAGGGGAUGUAUAAGGAAUAAAGAAAACGUAUAUAAGACACGAGCCGAAUGUGAGAAGACUUGCCUCUAAAAAAUUACCAAGGCAGUGUAAGGCCCCAGGACC